rnacentral:lncRNA from 1 species
ACUUGACAACUUGACAACUUAACCUCUUGACUAUGCAACUUAGACCUCUUAUAUGCAUGUGGUACCAAUACGGGGCAUCAAGUCCCAAUCGCUAUUUGAGUAUUAUUAUACUACCGGAGCAUCAAGCCCCAAUCGCUAUUUGAGUAUUAUUAUACUUCCGGAGCAUCAAGCCCCAAUCGCUGAAUGCUAAUGCAUGGACUCGACCUCUUAAACAUCUUAAUCGACAACCUCUUAUAUAAUCCAAUAAUUUGGAACUUCAUCAUCUUAAUCAACUUAGACCGACUCAUGCAGCUUAGUUAAAUAACAACAGCAACACAACAGUAUACAAAAACAGCAUGACAUAAUAAUAUCAAAUGCAAGUCAACAACGUCUCAAUUAUUCACAUAUAAUUCAAGUAAUGCAUAUACAAUUAUAUCACAGUAUAACAACAUCAAAUAAUAAUCAACAUCUUAAAACAUCAUAUAUACAUAUAACACUUCAUCAAUCAUGGACAAUAUCAUAUUCACAAACAUACACAUACAUAUACUAAUUCAUCAAUCAUAAUCAAUUAUUCACUGUGACCUACGUUCAGUAAUUUGACCAUAACUCAAGUUCUAUAAAUCCUUUUGAAGUCAAACCAACGGCACUAGAAAGCUAACAUCCAUACCUACAACUUUCGUGUUUAUACCUAAGACCAAUUAUGUACCAAUCAAUACCAGUUUUCAUUUCAAUUCGGACAAAGUUGUGCUGAAAUUCAUAAAAAUUCACUGUGACCUACGUGCAGUAAUUUGACCAUAACUCAUAAACCGAAAAUCAUUUUCAAGUGAAACUGACACCACUGGAAAGCUAACACAAUUAUCUACAACUUUCAUGUGUACACUAAAGGCUAAUUCAAAACAGAAACGUGUGAAAAAGACGCAAGAACAUGAAACAGGACAUGCUGUCAGAGAGCAACUCGGGAAAAACACACUUUUCACCCCAAAAUCCCAAUUUUAACUUCCCUAUGCCCAAAUUUGAUCCCAAAGUUUGUCUAAACAUUUAUAUACAUCAAAAGAGACUCGAAACCAUAUAAAACUUGACCCAAAACAUUAUUUUAGAAAAUCAUCAAAUAAUCACUUUUAACCCUAAUUUCCAAAUUCUCAAAAACUAAAACCUACAACAUGUUAAAUCCAAUUUUCAGAAUCAAUGACUUAAGAUUAUUGAAUGUUAGUCCCACCCUUACCUUAUAGAUGAAAAUCGCAGCACUCCUAGGUCUUCUCCCUCCUCUCGGCUUUUUCUCCCUUUUCUCCAAAAUUGAUCGUAUGUUAUGUUUUUUCUAAACUAGGUUUCUCCUAUUUAUAACCCUUUUUUCUAUUUUAUCUUAUUUCUCUUUCUCCCCCAAAACUCUCUAAAAUCUCAUAACAAACUCUCAACUCAAUCUUAUUUCUAUUUUCAAAUCUUAAUCUAUUAAAUAACAACAUAAGCCACUUAAUAAAUCACAUAAUCAAAUAAAUAUAUUUUAAACUCUUCUUAAUAAAUUUUAGACUCAAUUAAAUAAUUAAAUAAAUCAAAUAAUUCAAAGAGGGCGUUACAACUCCACCCCCCUUAAAAGAAUUUCGUCCUCGAAAUUCAAAGCACACAAGAAAGGAAUUCAAUUAUUGCCUAAACAUCUUAAACCAAACAUAGCCAAAUAGAAACUUCAAACAAAACAUGUAAGCCACAUCAAAGUUAGUCAAUCAAACAUGAUCACAUAAUAAACAUAACAAUUAGUCAGAAAACACAACAACAAUCAAGACAACAUAAGACAGUAUUUCAACUGUCACACGACUUGACACGACUCAACUACUUGGCCGGACGGACCGACCUGCUCUGAUACCAAUUGUAACACCCCGUUUUCCCAACAUAAAAAUUUCGCAUAAAUAAUCAGAGUCUUUCAACAUAAACGGAAUGUCACAUUCUUUUCUUAAAAUCAUAAACUGAAUAAAUAAUUAUUUAUCCUUUAAAAUUCAAAUACAAGAUCUUUAAUACUUCGCAGCGGAAUUUAUUUCAAUAACUAAAACAGUCUUUGGCACGAAGGACUCUUCAUAAAUGUCUCAUAAAAAUCCAAUCUAAAAACAUAGUCAUAAAUCUUCAAAAACAAUACGUAAGGAAUAGAAAAGCAAUAACAAAGUUCUCAUCCCGUUACGUAUCAGAGCACCUAAGACACACGAGAAGGAAAAGCUCACACGGCAUCAACUAUUCUUGGUUACCUGUUAGUUACCCAUGGUGGGCAAACAGAAGGGGUGAGAUUUCACAAAUAAUAAUAUUAAGCAUAUAAUUCAUCAAUUACAUUUAACAACAUAAACAUCAUCAAUCAUAUUUAACAACUCAUAGACAACAUCAUGUAAUCAUCAUAAUAUUCAUCAUAGAUAAUAAUAUAUCAUAAUUCACUUCUUUAAUAGUUCAUAUAAAGAAUCACAGCUUUAAACAAUUUCAUGAUUUAACAACUUAACAACUCGACAACUUGAUAACUUGACAACUUGACAACUUAACCUCUUGACUAUGCAACUUAGACCUCUUAUAUGCAUGUGGUACCAAUACGGGGCAUCAAGUCCCAAUCGCUAUUUGAGUAUUAUUAUACUACCGGAGCAUCAAGCCCCAAUCGCUAUUUGAGUAUUAUUAUACUUCCGGAGCAUCAAGCCCCAAUCGCUGAAUGCUAAUGCAUGGACUCGACCUCUUAAACAUCUUAAU